AGCCCCCUGGAUAAAUAGAGGGUCCCGCCUGCCCAGUGGCUCUAUAGCUAAACGGCCGCGGUAUCUUGACCGUGCAAAGGUAGCAUAAUCACUUGUCUUUUAAAUGGAGACUUGUAUGAAUGGCAAAACCUUUUUUAACUGUCUCCCUCCCUAACCUUCUAAACUUCUACCCGUGUGAAGAAGCACGGAUAUAAUAGAAAGACGAGAAGACCCUGUCGAGCUUCAGUCUAAAGGUGAACUGGCUAUAUAGACCACUAUCAUCUAAAGACUUUGGUUGGGGCAACCAUGGAGGAAAAAAACCCUCCAGAGCAAAUAGAAGAAAACCCUUCUCUAUUACUCCACUAGAGAACCAGGAACUGGCAAACGGAAAAAGUUACCGCAGGGAUAACAGCGUCAUCUCCUCUAAGAGUCCUUAUUGACGAGGAGGUUUGCGACCUCGAUGUUGGAUUGGGGCUCCCCUAGGGUGCAGAAGCUCUAAACGGUUAGACUGUUCGUCUAUUAAAGCCCU
rnacentral:rRNA from 23 species